UCUUUUAAAAUUGCUUUGAGAUUGAAUUUUAUCAGCUUUUUGCAACAUAUUGUUUGACCGUAGUAAUAAAUCGUAAAAAAAUUAUAGAUUUUUUCUAUAUACCAAGAUGCUAUAUAAUGUGCGUUUAGAUUUGUCAACGCUAAACCCACUUCCCUGAGUGAUGGUCACUCAUUAGAGGCCUCGAGGUCGUUCAGAGCUAUUUGUACUGGACAAGUGAUAAAUUUUAACUACUGAACUUAUCUUAUAUGGCGCCGUUUGUGGUAAUAAAGUAUUUAUUUUCGCAUAAAAAUGUCCUAUAACCUUCCGUCAGACUGACAAUAAUUCCAUUUAAAAUAUCAACCAUCUUCGCCGUUGAUUGCUAAUUCGGGAGAUAAAUUCUUCCGUAUCAGUUUAAUUAAAUAAAUAUCACUCGCCUGACGGACGGUACAUCGGAAAUCGGAAGCUGGCUUAUCUUAUCCAUACGUCCUGAUUCUGCAAAACUGGAGGCCUACCGAGAGCUUUUUAAAAAAACAGCUGACAUGCUGAUUCUGUAGGUUCCUCAAUUCAAUAAUAAUAAUAAUCAAUGGCGCUACAACCUGUUUAGGUCUGGGCCUCAGAUUUCUGUAUCUGUUUCUUGAUCAGGGAUGGCCGUCCAACGCUGAAGCCACUAGGCCAACACUGCUCCUCAAUUCAAUAGCAUUGUUUAUACCAUGACUUUCUAUGAACUGAAACGUAUUGGAAUCGGAAGACCGAAAGUUUUGCUGAAAAAAAAUGUAUUAUGUAUAUAAUGUAUGUUUGUAUUUUAAAAUUUAACUGUAAAACUUGCUUCGAUUCUAUAACAAUACAUAACAUCUAAAAAUUAUAUUGAAUAAUUCAUCAAUCUAUAUAAGCUAUUAUGUUUAAGUGUAUAACUUGUUUUGAUGUACAUAUUUUUCUGGUGCCAUGAUCUAUCUAUUGAAAGGAGCUAUCAAUUCAAUAAUAUCUAGGGUGUUCACAGAAAUUAUAAAACUAAAAUAUAAAAAAAGUAUUUUCUUGAUAUAAAAACCCCCUUUGCAAAA